GACUGUCUAAUUGAAACACAGCAUCGUAUAGCCAGCUGAGCCGCACAGACGCGUUCUGAUUUCUGCCUAGUGCUCUUAAUGUCAAAGUGAAGAAAUUCAACCAUGCGCGGGUAAACGGCACGAUUAACUAUAACUCUCGUUCCAUAGCUAGAUGGCUAGAUACACAAAACAAUAAAC
rnacentral:rRNA from 1 species